ACAGAAAGGAAUACAAAUAAAAUACCACAAGCAUCGCUAGAGCAACUGGCAUUCAGAAUAAACUAUUAAAAACCCAAACAACCUAAACCACGCAUCACAUCCACAAAAAGACGCUAAGGAAACCCCGGUGCAGCCUCCCGCCUGCCAAGCCAGCCAGCAGUGCCCGGCAGUCACCCCUCCUGCUGCCUCCAGCUGCAGGGAAUGGGGUGCAACGGUACAGAAGGCCAGAAAACUCACCCGGGGAACAGCAGGGACCAGAGCGAGGGAACCGCUCCCUGCGAGGACGGAGAGGCGACAACGUGGUCCCGGCUCGCUGCAACAGCUCCUCUGUGACGGCUGCGGCUCCUCCUCCUCCCCCGCUGUUGCUGCUAGCGACGUAGUCCCUCCUCCAAAACCACAGCUUCACUUAGCCAGCAGUGAAAGCCUCCUGCUGGACCCUGGGAUGCCCAAAAGGGCGUCCCGGAUGCCUGAGUGAAGGGGUCGCAGGAGAUGGGGGGCUGACCUGUCAGAAUGCACGGUGCAAUUUUCCUGUGUUACUGUAGUGGGGAAAUUCUUUUCAAGGUCCUUUUUGGCGUAAAAGUUGGCCAAAGGCAGCUGAUCUUACACUUUUCAUGAUGGGCACAAGAAGUCAGGGAGUACUGGACAUGAAUUACUACACAUCCUGCUGACAAUUGAGUAACUAUGCAUGAUAUAAGACAGACUUAAGAUCUCUUCUCCUUACAGUAAGGAAUCCAUAAAUAAAGUGUAAGAACA